rnacentral:rRNA from 1 species
CGGACGGGUGAGUAACGCGUGGGUAACCUGCCUCAUACAGGGGGAUAACGGUUAGAAAUGACUGCUAAUACCGCAUAAGCGCACAGUACCACAUGGUACGGUGUGAAGAACUCCGGUGGUAUGAGAUGGACCCGCGUCUGAUUAGCUAGUUGGUGGGGUAACGGCCCACCAAGGCGACGAUCAGUAGCCGACCUGAGAGGGUGACCGGCCACAUUGGGACUGAGACACGGCCCAG